GGAAUCUGGGGGGCGGGGUAUCACCAGAGGCAGAUCAGGUGAUCUUCCAGUCAGCCUCCUCGACUCCUGCACCCCAGGAACACCCAGCUACCUGUCGCUGAGCCCACAGAGAAGUUCCCGGUUGCCACAGCUCUCGGCGAUAAGCACAAGGUAGGAGGACACCAGGUGGAAUACCUCCUUCCCUGCAGCCCCAGGACAUUUGAACAAGAAACAGACUGUGGGAUAUUGCAGGCCUUUACCCAAGCCAAAA
rnacentral:lncRNA from 1 species